UACGUAGGGGGCGAGCGUUGUCCGGAUUCACUGGGCGUAAAGGGUGCGUAGGCGGUCGGGUAAGUCUGGCGUGAAAUCUCCAAGCCUAACUUGGAAACUGCGUUGGAUACUAUCCGGCUCGAGGAAUGGAGGGGAGACUGGAAUACUUGGUGUAGCAGUGAAAUGCGUAGAUAUCAAGUGGAACACCAGUGGCGAAGGCGAGUCUCUGGACAUUUCCUGACGCUGAGGCACGAAAGCCAGGGGAGCAAACGGG
rnacentral:rRNA from 1 species